rnacentral:rRNA from 1 species
AUUGAACGCUGGCGGCAUGCCUUACACAUGCAAGUCGAACGGUAACGGGCCUUCGGGUGCCGACGAGUGGCGAACGGGUGAGUAAUGCAUCGGAACGUACCUUUCAGUGGGGGAUAACGUAGCGAAAGUUACGCUAAUACCGCAUAUUCUGUGAGCAGGAAAGCAGGGGAUCGCAAGACCUUGCGCUGAUUGAGCGGCCGAUGUCAGAUUAGCUAGUUGGUGAGGUAAAGGCUCACCAAGGCGACGAUCUGUAGCGGGUCUGAGAGGAUGAUCCGCCACACUGGAACUGAGACACGGUCCAGACUCCUACGGGAGGCAGCAGUGGGGAAUCUUGGACAAUGGGCGCAAGCCUGAUCCAGCCAUGCCGCGUG